rnacentral:rRNA from 1 species
UAGGGAAUCUUCGGCAAUGGACGAAAGUCUGACCGAGCAACGCCGCGUGAGUGAAGAAGGUUUUCGGAUCGUAAAACUCUGUUGUUAGAGAAGAACAAGGACGUUAGUAACUGAACGUCCCCUGACGGUAUCUAACCAGAAAGCCACGGCUAACUACGUGCCAGCAGCCGCGGUAAUACGUAGGUGGCAAGCGUUGUCCGGAUUUAUUGGGCGUAAAGCGAGCGCAGGCGGUUUCUUAAGUCUGAUGUGAAAGCCCCCGGCUCAACCGGGGAGGGUCAUUGGAAACUGGGAGACUUGCGUGCAGAAGAGGAGAGUGGAAUUCCAUGUGUAGCGGUGAAAUGCGUAGAUAUAUGGAGGAACACCAGUGGCGAAGGCGUCUCUCUGGUCUGUAACUGACGCUGAGGCUCGAAAGCGUGGGGAGCAAACAGG